GUCUGCGGCCAUGCCACCCUGAACAAGCCCGAUGUCUGAUCUCGGGAGGUAAGCAGGGUUGGGCCUGGUUAGUACUUGGAUGGGAGACCACCUAGGAAGAGCAGGUGCUGUAUGUG
rnacentral:rRNA from 1 species